GCAGUGGUAGCUAGGUGGUUAAGGCAAUGGACUACUGAUCAGAAGGUCAUGAAUUCAAAUCCCAGCCACUGUU